GUGCUCGCUUCGGCAGCACAUAUACGAAAAAUUGGAACGAUACAGAGAAGAUUAGCAUGGCCCAUGCGCAAGGAUGACAUGCAAAUGCGUGAAGCGUUUUU
rnacentral:snRNA from 1 species